GGAGCAAUGCCGCGUGAAGGCAGAAGGCCCACGGGUCAUGAACUUCUUUUCUCGGAGAAGAAACAAUGACGGUAUCUGAGGAAUAAGCAUCGGCUAACUCUGUGCCAGUAGCCGCGGUAAGACAGAGGAUGCAAGCGUUAUCCGGAAUGAUUGGGCGUAAAGCGUCUGUAGGUGGCUUUUCAAGUCCGCCGUCAAAUCCCAGGGCUCAACCCUGGACAGGCGGUGGAAACUACCAAGCUGGAGUACGGUAGGGGCAGAGGGAAUUUCCGGUGGAGUGGUGAAAUGCGUUGGGAUCGGAAAGAACACCAACGACGAAAGCACUCUGCUGGGGUGGGUGCCUUUGUAGAGGGUGAGUUGCACCUUGUCAUGGAUGCCAUUGUUU
rnacentral:ncRNA from 1 species